UACGGAGGGUGCGAGCGUUGUCCGGAAUCACUGGGCGUAAAGGGCGCGUAGGCGGUGGGAGAAGUCUGUGGUGAAAGCUCGUGGCUCAACUACGAGUCGGCCAUGGAUACUCUUCGACUUGAGCACUGUAGAGGCAGGUGGAAUUCCGGGUGUAGCGGUGGAAUGCGUAGAGAUCCGGAAGAACACCGGUGGCGAAGGCGGCCUGCUGGGCAGUAGCUGACGCUGAGGCGCGACAGCGUGGGGAG
rnacentral:rRNA from 1 species